GAUCCUGGCUCAGGACGAACGCUAGCUACAGGCUUAACACAUGCAAGUCGAGGGGCAGCAUGGUCUUAGCUUGCUAAGGCCGAUGGCGACCGGCGCACGGGUGAGUAGCACGUAUCCAACCUGACCGUCUACUCUUGGACAGCCUUCUGAAAGGAAGAUUAAUACAAGAUGGCAUCAUGAGUCCGCAUGUUCACAUGAUUAAAGGUAUUCCGGUAGACGAUGGGGA
rnacentral:rRNA from 1 species